CAGACUCGGUGUAGGUUAGCGGGUUAUAAGUAUGACAACCUCAUUCGCCAGAAUUAUACCAUCCUUUUCUUUUCUUUCUCAUUUAUAUAUAAAAUGUCAAAAUUAUUCCUUAGUUAUAUUGAUAAGCCAAAGAUAUUUGACGAAAAGUUAUUGAUUUCUAUCUUUUUCCAUUUACCCUCUUUUUUGUCUAACUUCAGGUUCAAGGAUGGGGGAAGACGUUCGUGCUAGGGGUGCACAAACCUGGAGCAGAGUUGAAAUUCAGUUCAUUUGAAGUUUUUGAUUCUGUGAAAACUUUAACAGGAAUAGCUAUAUAUAUAAUUCUUGAGGAUGCAGAGUUGUGUUUUUUUAGGUGCAUAAUAAUAGAUAAAUACAUGUUUAAUAUACUCUUUUAAAUUUAGAUGUAACCAUAUUUGUUAAAUAGUUUUGAUUUUUGUUUUGAUAAAAUAUUUUGUGUUCAAUGUUACAUUUACUACGAU
rnacentral:lncRNA from 1 species